GUCUACAGCCAUGCUACCCUGAACAAGCCCGAUCCCGUCUGAUCUCAGAAGCUAAGCAGGGUCAGGCCUGGUUAGUACUUGGAUGGGAGAUCACCUAGGAAGACCAGGUGCUGUAGGUG
rnacentral:rRNA from 1 species